GACAGAGGGGGCGAGCGUUGUCCGGAGUCACUGGGCGUAAAGCGCGCGCAGGCGGACGCCAAAGUGGGGUGUGAAAUCCCCCGGCUCAACCGCGGGAGGCCAUGGCAAACUGGGCGUCUGGAGCGGCGGAGAGGCCCCUCGAAUUGCCGGUGUAGAGGUGAAAUGCGUAGAGAUCGGCAGGAAGACCAGUGGGGAAGGCAGGGGGCUGGCCGCUGGCUGACGCUGAGGAGCGACAGCGUGGGGAGCGAACCGG
rnacentral:rRNA from 1 species